ensembl:lncRNA mucin-1-like
AGAACCUCCUCAUAAAUCAAACCACCCCUGAGGCCACGCCCCCUUCAAUAAAGCCGGACCUCUCUCUCUUCAUCACCACAUUGGGAACGUCACGUUCAGCCUCAGAGAGACAAGCACGAGCCCCACCCGCACCUGAGACCUCCCGGUACCCGUCACUUCUUCACUCCUUCACUCCUUCACCUUCACGGGCAAGAAACGGCAGCGCGAGCCCCGGGUUUGAACCCCUCCGUCAGAACACCGUGUUCUCAUGAUGAUGAUGUCAUACCUGUGGAUCCUGCUCAUAGGUAGCCUGUUGGCUGCACACACCAAUGCACAAGAUGAUGCAACUUUAGCCGAGGAGGUGGCAACAGAAACCACCACAGAUACUGAACCAGACAUUAAGGAAGACCCAUCAGCACCAAGUGACCCCGCUACUAGCACAGGGGAAGAAGAAGAUCCAAGCAAUCCUACGGAUGACGAUGGAGUUCUUGUAGCUUCUGCAGUUGAAGAAACUGAUCCUCCAGCUGUGGAAGAAACAGAUUCUCCAACAGACGCAGGGGCAGAUCUUCCCACAGAGGGACAAACUGAUUCUCCAGCAGAGGUUGAAACAGAGCCUGCUGCAGUUGGACAGACUGAUCCUCCAACAGAGGCUGGAGCUGAUCUACCAAUAGAAGAAAAGACAGAGGGAGGGACUGACCUGGUAGCAGAGGUAGAGACAGAUCCUCCAACAGAGGGACAGACGGACCUUCCAACAGAAGAAAAGACUGAUCCUCCAACAGAGACUGAGACAGAUCCACCAACGGACGGAGGGGCUGAUACUUCAACAGAGAAGGAAACAGAUCCUCCAACAGAGGGAGGACCCAAUCCUCCAUUAGAUAGCGAUGCAGCACCAGAGAUUCCUACAGGUGGAGAUACCGAUGUUACAACUGUCUUGACUGACGCUUCCUCCGUUGGAGCAGUAGAAACUCCUACAGAUGUGGUUUCUGUAGACGGAAAUGCAGCAUCAGCAACUUCCACAGGAGACACCGACACUGAAGAGGCAACAUCAACAUCAGCUUUGGUCCCGGGGGCUGGAGAUACAGAGGAGAAUCCCACCUCAGGUGCUAAUACAACGGCUGCCAAAGAUGAGAGCGGAGCAGAUGAUAAGUCCUCACCAGCAACAGAUGUUGAACCCAGUAAGGAGGAAGAACCCACAGAUCCAGCAGCUAAUGAAGACACGUCCAAAUCAGCCACUGAAGAAAUUGUCAAAGCAGAAACUCAACCAAAAGUAGACGCUGAAGUUUCAACGUCUGAUAUGGCAGUUAUUGUACCGGGAGUGAAAACAGAGCUCGGGUUUAACUUGGAAGAUGCUCUGGAUGCGGGGCCUGCAGCGGUCGACCCUCCACAACCAGGAGGAAAGAGCCGCAGUAUGGGAUCCGAUGGUGGGAUAGUUGGUGCAUCCGGAGGCGAAAAGCCUCAAGGCAAAGAGGGCGGAUCUGGUGCCUUAGCAGGAAUCCUUUCUGCCAUUGUUUUGACUGCAGUGGGAGCCGUCAGUGGAUACAUCCUUUAUCAGAAGAAGAAACUGUGCUUCAAAAACAGACAGGAAGCAGAUCCUGAGGCAGCACACAAAGCCAACGCAGCUGAGGCUCAGUCGGAUCCUCAGGUUCUCAACACAUUGUUGAACUCCUCCUAAAACCAGCAAUGAUCACCUGACUGCCUGGACCAACAGAAUUCAAGCAAAGUGGCAAUCUCACUGUUAGCCUCUACCUACGGUGGAGCUAAGUUACUGUGAGGCCCCUGAGUAGGGCUGUGUGUGUGUGUGUGUGUGUGUGUGUGUGUGUGUGUUUGUGUGUGUGUGUGUGUGUGUACAUAUGUGGAAACGAAGACUUGGACAAAGAUCAAUUAAAUGUGUGUGAACUUUAGGGUUUUUGGAUGAUCCCAACAAAGUCAAAACCUUCAGUGAAACUUGUACUUCAGAGUAGACAUAGGCAACCGGUGACCCGGGGGCCACAUGUGGCCCUCAGUGUUAUUUUAGAUGGCCCAUAAAGAAAAAAGCAGAAAAUGAGGCAGAAAUGUACAAAACAGCAAAAAAUACACAAAAUUACUCAAAAAAACAUACAAAAUUUUCCAAAAAAAAUUGCACAAAUGGUGAACAAAAUAAUAAAAAUGUACUCCAAAAACA